UUACCCGAUAUAGUAUUGCGUUGUGUGACGACACAAUUGAAUGAGACGAUCGAACAAUUUGAAUGACAUGUUUGAUGUAAUACAACAAGAGUUUUCAUUGGCCGAUUACAGCCCGCCCACUUUCUCGAGCGGAUUCAGUGUAGCUGGAGAACUGUACAUAUACACUGUCAUGAUCGUGUGCAGGAUUGGACAAAACAAGAUGGCAGACGGCAUUUCCAAACAAAGAUCCAGUCAGGAGCGGACUUCCUUAAGCUUAAAAGUUGCAAGUGAAUGAAGUGUGUUCUAUUUUAUGUCUCCUAAUAAAACCAUGGUUUUGACAAACCUAAAAGAGCACGUGGAGCAAGGAACUAUCAGUAAGCCGGAAGAGCCAGCUCGAAAAUCUUUACGUGUUUGAGAAUUGCACCGCGCACAUGAAUCUAAAGUUCUGUCACACGUUAGAAGGAGCCUUGUUGUCGAAGAUCAACAUGUUGAAAAGUCUUCAUUUUGCAGAAGCAAAUACAUUUAUAUUGUAUAUACACAUGUAGACCAUGUUCGAUUCCCAACCACUUAACAUUUGUGAUAUCUGCAUGGAAUUAUGAAAACUGAGCAUGGUUUGACGUAUAAUAAUCUCUUCAGGCAUGAUGGUUUACAUUUCACAAAGCUGUUCAAUGACAAUAAAGACAAUGAGAUG